rnacentral:ncRNA from 1 species
CUUGUUCUCAUGGGGUGUCUGGCACCGUUCCGGACUGAGAUUGCGGCAGCAAAACCCACAGAACCUGAUCCAGUUAGCACUGGCGUAGGAAUUGAGACCCCGAUAGUUU